rnacentral:rRNA from 1 species
AUUGAACGCUGGCGGCAUGCCUUACACAUGCAAGUCGAACGGCAGCGCGGGGCAACCUGGCGGCGAGUGGCGAACGGGUGAGUAAUAUAUCGGAACGUACCCUGGAGUGGGGGAUAACGUAGCGAAAGUUACGCUAAUACCGCAUACGAUCUAAGGAUGAAAGCGGGGGACCGUAAGGCCUCGCGCGAUUGGAGCGGCCG